GUGCUCCCCCGCCAAUUCCUUUAAGUUUCAGCCUUGCGGCCGUACUUCCCAGGUGGUAGGCUUAAUGGCUUCCCUGCGGCACUGGGACAGCUCGUAGCCGUCCCAACACCUAGCCUGCAUCGUUUACAGCUGGGACUACCGGGGUAUCUAAUCCCGUUCGCUCCCCCAUCUUUCGUCCCUCACCGUCGGGCGCGUUUUAGUCGGCCGCCUUCGCCACUGGUGGUCCUCCUGGGAUUAUAGGAUUUCGCCCCUACCCCAGGACUACCGCCGACCUCCCUCGCCCCCAAGCCGAAGAGUAUUCCCCGCAGCCCAACGAUUGGAUCGUCAGAUUUAACGGGGAACUUUUUCGGCCGGCUACGGACGCUUCAGACCCAAUAAUCGUCCCAACCACUCGGGGAGCUGGUAUUACCGCGGCGGCUGACACCAGACUUGCCCUCCCCUUAUUCACCUGGCUAGUUAAACCGGGCAAAAGCCAUCCUCAGCGGGCGGCACUCGGAGUGACCUCGUCACGCUUUCGCGCAUUGCGAAGUUUUCGCGCCUGCUGCACCCCGU
rnacentral:rRNA from 1 species